AUUGAACGCUGGCGGCAGGCCUAACACAUGCAAGUCGAGCGAGCGGCGGACGGGUGAGUAAUGUAUGGGGACUGCCCGCUAGAGGGGGAUAACUACUGGAAACGGUGGCUAAUACCGCAUACUAUCGGAUAACCCAUAUGGGAUUAGCUAGUAGGUGGGGUAAAGGCUCACCUAGGCGACGAUCUCUAGCUGGUCUGAGAGGAUGAUCAGCCACCCUGGGACGUAGACACGGCCCAGACUCCUACGGAGGCAGCAGUGGGGAAUAUUGCACAAUGGGCGCAAGCCUGAUGCAGCCAUGCCGCGUGUAUGAAGAAGGCCUUAGGGUUGUAAAGUACUUUCAGCGGGGAGGCGUUACCCGCAGAAGAAGCACCGGCUAACUCCGGGCCAGCCGGCGCGGUAAUUG
rnacentral:rRNA from 1 species